rfam:Oryza glumipatula chromosome 5, whole genome shotgun sequence.
AAAGAGUGUAGCUUUUUACUGUUCAUGUCCACAUUUGACCGUCUGUAUUAUUUAAAAAAAUUUUAUGAUUAGUAUUUUUAUUGUUACUAGAUGAUAAAACAUAAACAUUACUUCGUGUGUGAUUAUUUUUUUAUAAUUUUUUUAAAUAAGACGGACGAACAAACAUUGGACAUAGAAAUCCACAAUUGCACUUAUA